rnacentral:rRNA from 1 species
AACGUAGGACACAAGCGUUAUCCGGAGUUACUGGGCGUAAAGGGCGUGUAGGCGGACCUAUAAGUCUAUUCUGAAAGCUCCUGGCUAAACUGGGAGAGGCGAAUGGAGACUGUAGAUCUAGAGUGAGGAAGAGGAAAGUGGAAUUCCGCGUGUAGUGGUGAAAUGCGUAGAGAUGCGGAGGAACACCAGUGGCGAAAGCGACUUUCUGGUCCUUAACUGACGGCUGAGGCGCGAAAGCAUGGGGAGCGAACGGG